UUAGAGGAAGUAAAAGUCGUAACAAGGUUUCCGUAGGUGAACCUGCGGAAGGAUCAUUACCGAGUUUUCGAGCUUCGGCUCGACUCUCCCACCCUUUGUGAACGUACCUCUGUUGCUUUGGCGGCUUCGGCCGCCAAAGGACCUUCAAACUCCAGUCAGUAAACGCAGACGUCUGAUAAACAAGUUAAUAAACUAAAACUUUCAACAACGGAUCUCUUGGUUCUGGCAUCGAUGAAGAACGCAGCGAAAUGCGAUAAGUAAUGUGAAUUGCAGAAUUCAGUGAAUCAUCGAAUCUUUGAACGCACAUUGCGCCCCUUGGUAUUCCGGGGGGCAUGCCUGUUCGAGCGUCAUUACAACCCUCAAGCUCUGCUUGGAAUUGGGCACCGUCCUCACUGCGGACGCGCCUCAAAGACCUCGGCGGUGGCUGUUCAGCCCUCAAGCGUAGUAGAAUACACCUCGCUUUGGAGCGGUUGGCGUCGCCCGCCGGACGAACCUUCUGAACUUUUCUCAAGGUUGACCUCGGAUCAGGUAGGGAUACCCGCUGAACUUAAGCAUAUC
rnacentral:rRNA from 1 species